rnacentral:rRNA from 1 species
CAAUAGCGUAUAUUAAAGUUGUUGCAGUUAAAAAGCUCGUAGUUGGAUUUCUGGUGGGAGCGAUCGGUCUGGCGCUUAGCGCGAGUACUUGCAUCGUCUCCGGCCAUCCUUGGGGAGAGUCUGUCUGGCAUUAGGUUGUCGGGCAGGGGAUCCUCAUCGUUUACUGUGAAAAAAUUAGAGUGUUCAAAGCAGGCUUAUGCCGUUGAAUAUAUUAGCAUGGAAUAAUAAGAUAGGACUUUGGUACUAUUUUGUUGGUUUGCGCACCAAAGUAAUGAUUAAUAGGGACAGUUGGGGGUAUUCGUAUUCCGUUGUCAGAGGUGAAAUUCUUGGAUUUACGGAAGACGAACUACUGCGAAAGCAUUUACCAAGGAUGUUUUCAUUAA